GCGUGCGCAGGAACGUGGAAAGUUCCAGGACACGGAACCGUUGGGACGGAGGACCUGAAGGUGGAGUGAGUGGACUCAUCCUGAAUUCUUUCUUGCACGAGAUCCAAGAAUUCUCCCUUGGAAUCUGGAUUGGACCCCUUUCCUGUAACAGAAUUACAGUUUUUGAGAUGGAGUUUCACUCUUCUUGCCCAGGCUGGAGUGCAAUGGUGCAAUCUCGGCUCACCGCAACCUCUGCCUCUCAGGUUCAAGCAAUUCUCCUGCCUCAGCCUCCCGAGUAGCUGGAAUUACAGGGAUGGGGUUUCGCCAUGUUGCCCAGGCUGGUCUCAAACUCCUGGCUCAAGCAAUCUGCUUGCCUUGGCCUCCAAAAGUGCUGGAAUUACAUGCCUGAGCCACCGUGCUCAGCCUAGAAGUUCAACAAAGAGACAUAAAUCUUUAAAAAUAACCAAACAGAAAAUUUGGAGCUAAAUAAUGCAAUGAAUGAAAUGAAGAAUGCAAUAGAGAGCUUCAACAGUAGACUCGACCAAACAGAAGAAAGAAUCUGUGAACUUGAAGACAGGCUAUUUGAAAUUACUCAGUCAAAGAAGAAAAAAGAAAAAAAAUAGUGAAGAAAGCCUACAGAAUUUACUGGACACCAUCAAGUGAAUUAAUAUAUACAUUAUGGGAUUCCCACAAGUAAAAGAGAAAGAGAAAGGAGAAUAAAAUGUAUUUAAAAAAAUAAUGGCUGAAAACUUCCCAAAUUUUGGGAGGGAAAUGGACAUCCAGAUUCAUGAAGCUAAAAGCUCUUCAAGUAAGAUCAACCCAAAGAAGAUUAUACUGAGUCACAUUAUAAUCAAAUUAUCAAAAGAUAAAGACAAAGAGAGAAUUUUGAAAACAGCAGGAGAAAAGUGACUCAUCACAUAUAAGGGAAACUUCUUGAGCCUAUUACCAGACUUCUCAGCAAAAAUUUUGCAGGCCAGGAAAGAAUGGGAUGGUAUAUUCAAAGUGUUUUCAAGAAAAAACUGCCAACUAUGAAUAUUAUGUCUAGAAAAGUUGUCUUUCAUAAAUGAAGGAGAGAUAAAGACUUUCCUAAACAAAAGUUGUGGGAAUUCAUCACCAUUAUAUCUUCCUUACAGGAAAUACUAAAGGAAAAUUUUUAAGUUGAAAUGAAAGGAUGCUAAUUAGUAACAUGAAAACAUAUGAAAGUAUAAAAAUCACUGGUAAAGGUAAGUAUAUAGUCAAAUUCAGAAUACUUUAAUACUAUAAUGGUGGUGCAUAAAUCACUUUUGACUAUAGCAUAAAAGUUAAAAGACAGAAGUAGUAAAAAAAUUAAGCUACAAUAACAUUAUAGAUAUGCAAUAUGAAGAGGUAUAAAUUGGGAUGUCAAUAACAUAAAAUGUGAGGAUGAAAGGAAGUAAAAUAUAGAUUUUUUUUGUAUUGAAGUUAAAUUGUUAUCAGCUUAUAACUAUAAGAUGUCUUAUGUAAGCCUCAUGGUAACCACAUAGAAAAAAUCUCUGGUAGAUACACAAAAGAUAAAAAGGAAGGAAUUACAGCAUACCACAACAAAAAAAUUAUGAAAUCACAGAAGAGACAUCAAGAAAGGAAGGAACAAAGAUACCACAAAACAAACACAAAAUAGUUAACAAAAUGGUGUAUUAAGUCCUUAUCUAUCAAUACUUACUUUAAAUGUAAAUGAAUUAAAGUUUGUAAUGAAAAAAAUAGAGUGCUUGAAAUAGAGUGAUUGAGUGGAUAUAAAAACAAGAUUCAGCAAUAUGCUGCCUCCAAGGAACUCACUCUGGCUUUAAGGACACACAUUAGCUCAAACUGAAAGGAUGGAAAAAGAUAUUUCAUGCAAAUAGCAACCAAAAGAGAGCAGGGGUGGCUAUAGUUAUAGCAGAAAACUUUAAGUCAAAAACUACUGCAAGACACAAAAAAAUGUCAUUAUACAAUGAUAAAGGGAUCAAUUCAUCAGAAGGUAUAACAAUUGUAAAUAUAUAUGCAACCAACAUCAGAGUACCUAAAUAUAUAAAGCAAAUAUUAACAGAACUGAAGGAAGAAAUAUACAGCAAUAUGGUCAUAUUAGGGGACUUUAUUUUCUCCCUUUCAACAAUGGAUAGAUCAUCCAAAAAGA